UCGAACUUUUGGCCUUAGGUGAUCUCCCUCGGCCUCCAAAGUGCUGAGAUUACAGGUGUGAGCCACCCUGCCCGGCAGGACCUACAUUCUUAAUGAGCAUCUCUAUUGAUUUUGAGGCAGGUGGUCCAGAGAGUCAUUUUAAAAAGAUCAAUUUAGUAAUCAGAAGAGAUGAUAAAGACUCAUCUAUUUCAAAAUUGAAACAGUAUAAGGAGGUGUCUAGUGGGAGCUUCCCCUACCCUGCCCUUUCCAUCCACCUCCCUGCCCCCCAGUUAAUCACUGUUCUUAGGUGCCCUCAAAGAGCAGAGGGAGACCUUUGUGCCUGGCUGCCUUUUUUUUUUUUUUUUUAAAUACAAAAGGUAGCAUUGUACAUGCUUCUGGACUUGCUUUUUCCCUUAGUGUACCUUGGGGAAUUUGCCUUGAUAUAUGGAGAGAUGCAGCUGCUUUGUUUCAUGUUUUGCUUUUUUUUUUGGACAGUUGGACAUGCGUGUCCCAAGUGUGUUUAUUUAGCCGUUCUUUAUUGUGAUGACUGGGGUUGUUUCCAGCCUUUGGCUCAUUAUAAGGAAUGCUGCAGUGAAAUAGCCGUGUCUGUCUCGUUUGAUGUGUGCACAGGUAGACCUGUGUGACGAGUGCUUAGAUGCAGGAUUGCCGAGGCACAGGGAAAAUAAGUUUGUGGUUUUGCGAUGUUUCUAUUAGGCGAUGUCUGAGAGUGCCCCCAUGGCCUUGUGUUUUCAAACAUUUGGAUUUGUACCAGUCUGAGCAGUGGAAAAAUUCAGCACCUCGGGGUGUUUAACUUUCCUUUCUUUCUCUGUGGAUGAGUUUGACCCUCAAGGGCCAUGUGAGUUCCUAUUCUGAAGUGUCUAUAUUGUCUAUUUUUCUGUUGGGUAGUUGGUCUUUUUCUUAUUUAUGUAUUAGCUCUUUAUAGAUUAAGGAGCUUUGCCCUUUGUAAUCAGUGGGAAAUGUUUCUUUUUCCCACUUUGUCCUUUUGGGCCUCACUUUGAGAAACAGUCUUCUAGCUUAUCUAUGGGGUAAGGUUUCAGCAGACCCUCUAGAGAGCCCUAAAAUCAUGCCGUCCAAGAAAACUUCCGGCCAUUGUGGAAAUGCCCUUUAUCUGCACUGUCCAGUAGGCACCUGUGCCAAUUGCCUGUGCCGAUUGCCUGUGCUGACUGCUUGUGCCGAUUGAGCAUUUGAAAUACAGCCACCAAGGAAUGGAUUUUUUCUAGUUUAUUUUAAUUGAUUUAAAGAGCCACAUAUGGCUAGUGGCUACCUUCUUGGACAGUACAGCUCAGGAACCCACAAUAUCAUGAGACUUGUUACUAUAAUCUAUACUAUAAUUAUUGUUGCACAUCCUCCCAAGGUAAAAAAUAUACUUGCCCCACUGAGGGGAACAAAAUUACCAUCUCAAGCCAGCUGAGGUGCUACUCAGUUGAAAACUAUGGACCAAAACAUGAAUGGCCAGUAAAAACAGAUCGAGACCAGUGGGUGUAUAGGUCCUGGGUGUUGAGCUGGGUUUUGAAGACUGGAUAGGAUUUGGCCACGGAGAUAGCAAGGAGAAAGUUCAGAAGGGACAGCAUAUGCAAAGACCUGGAGGUGAAAUAGCUCAUGCAUUCCAGAGACUACAGGGGGUUCUGUGUCACCAGAGAACCAAGGGGCCAGGAGUGUUGGAAGAGGGGAAGUGGAGGCGCUCGAAGCUGGAGAGCUCAGCCAAGGCCUUGGACUCCAGGUGGAGAUCCCCACAGGGCUUGGCAGGCACUUAGUAAAUUGCGGUUUGUCCCAGGGUAGUUACACGAUGCAGGGGAAUGAUAAAUAGGAGCGGCUGAUGCAGCAGUACCUGGCACAUCAGGUACUGACAAGGUGGAGCUGACAAGGUGUUUUAGUAGGCAGGAGAGAUGGUCUCGUUUCCAUUUUCACAAGACAACAUGCCCUUUCCUUUACCAAGAUUCUGUAGGCUGGAGAGCCCCACCUGCCUUUUCUUCUUGGUACCUGCUGCUGUUGCCAAAGAGAAAACUGCUGGAACGACUAAGAGACCAGCUGGAGAGACCCUCCUCCCUGUCCCCCACUUCACUGCAGACGUGUUUCACAUGGAGAAAAGUUGAAAGAAUAGUAUAAUGAAUGGACAUCCACGCGCCCCACUCCUAGACUCUGCAGUCCCGCAUUCACCGUGUCUGCUUCAUCUGGUUGUGUUUUAUGCUGAACUUGAACUUGUGUUCAUACUUAGUGACAUUCUUAGUGUUUCAGCAGGCAUCUCCUAAGAAUAAGGACUUUCUCCUACAGAAUCAUGAUGCUGUCACGCCUGAGAUGAUUAUAAUCUUUGUUUACUAGUAACUUCUCCUUAUCCAUGCCGUACUUGAAUUUCUUUAGUUACCUUUUGAAGGAUAUGCAACCUUUAGAACAUUGUUUUAAAACCAGUAUUCAUUCAAGGUACAUGUCUCUUUGACUUGUUUUAUUUAAUCUAGUUCAGCCCUUUGUCUUUUUUUUUCCUCCCCAAGACAUUGAUUUUUUAUUAAUUUAUUUAUUUUUUUGACAAGCCAGGCUAGUUGUCUUGUAGAAUGUCACACCUUCUGGGUGUGUCAUAUUAUUGCCUUUUGGUGUUGUUUACUUUUGUUCCCCAUGUUUGUAUUUCUUGUAAACUAGAAUUAGGCCAGGAACAGGGUUGGCAAACUAUGGCCCUGCCUUCCAUUUUUGUAAAUAAAGUUUUAUUGGAACAUGACCAUGUCCAUUUGUUCAUGAAUAGUCUGGCUGCUUUUGGCUUACUGUGGCUGGGUUAAGUAGUUGUGACAAAGACUGUCUUGCAAAGCCUAAAAAAUUUAAUAAUUGGCCCUUUUAAAAUUUUAAUUAAAAUUUUUUAAAUUUAAAACUUUUUUUUUAGAGACAAGUUCUUGCUCUCUUGCCCAGGCUGGAGUGCAGCGGUGCAAUCAUAGCUCACUGCAGUCUCAAACUCCUGAGCUUAAUCCAUCCUUACGCCUCAGGAUCCUGAGUAGCUGGGACUAAAGGUAUGCACCACCAUGCCUGGCGAAUUUUUAAAUUUUUUUGUGGAGACAGAGUCUUGCUAUGUUGUCCAGGCCGGUCUGGAACUCCUGGUCUCAAGCAAUCCUCCCUCCUCCACCUCCCAAAGUGCUGGGAUUAUAGGCACAAACCACCACACCCAGCUUUCUGGUCCUUGAUGGAAAAAGUUUGCAGACCCCUGGUCUUGGCAGGCAAGAAUACUUAAUAGUGCAUCAGGUGAGUAUGAUCUUUUUGUUGUUGUUUUGAUGGGGUCUCUGUUGCCCAGGCUGCAGUGCAGUGGCAGAAUCACGACUCACUGCAGCCUCAAUCUCCCGGAUUUAGGUGAUCCUCCCACCCCAGCCUCCCUAGUAGCUAGAACUACAGGCGCCUGCCACCACACCAGGCUAAUUUUUGUAUUUUUUGUAGAGAUGGGGUUUCACCAUGUUGCCCAGGCUGGUCUUGAACCCCUGGGCUCAAGUGAUCUGCCCAUCUUAACCUCCCAGAGUGCUAAGAUUACAGCCAUGAGCCACUGUGCCUGGCCAUCUGUGAUCUUUUUGACGUAAAUCUUUCUUUCUUUUUUUUUUAGACAGAGUUUCACUCUUGUUGCCCAGGCUGGAGUACAAUGGUGCAAUCUUGGUUCACUGCAACAUCUUCCUCCUGGGUUCAAGUGAUUCUCACGCCUCAGCCUCCUGAGUAGCUGGGAUUACAGGCACGCGCCACCAUGCCUAGCUCAUUUUGUAUUUUUAGUAGAGAUGGGGUUUCUCUCAUGUUGGUCAGGCUGGUCUCGAACUCCUGACCUCAGGUGAUCUGCCCGCCUCGGCCUCCCAAAAUGCUGGGAUUACAAGCGUGAGCCACCGUGCCUGGCCUUGAUGUAAAUCUUAUCAUGUAUUUUCUCUGCUUAGAACUCUGAAUGGCUUUCACUCCCACUCAGAGUAAACUCCAAGGUCCGUGCUGUGUCCUGCAGAGUCCUGUAUGAUCCAGCGACCUCUCCAGAAGCAUUUCCUACCACAAGCACCCUCACUUAGCCACGUGUCUCCUUGCUGUUCCUUAAACAUGCCUAGCACAUCUCUUGCCCGAGGGCCUCAGCGCUUGCUGUCGCGUUUGUCUAAGGCCUUCCUCCCUGAGAUGCCAUCACAGCUCUCCCCGACUCCACGAGGUCUCUGCCCCAGUGUUGCCACCCCAGUGCGUCCUGCCCUGCCUCCCUUCGCUGUCUUGCCCUUCCCCAGCUGUGCUUUUCUUCAUAGCACCUGUCCACCAAGUGGGACAUUUAUAUUUAUGUAUGUAUCUGGCACACAAAUGGGUGUUCAGUAAAUGUUUGUUGGAUAAAUAAAAAAUAAUUAAAUUCUCUGAGCUA